GGGGCUGGGGCUCAGUGGUAGAGCUCUUGCCUAGCAUGUAUGAGGCACAGGGUUCAAUUCUCAGCACCA
rnacentral:tRNA from 1 species